rnacentral:rRNA from 1 species
GAUGAACGCUGGCGGCGUGCUUAACACAUGCAAGUCGAACGGAAAGACCCUGCUUUUGCGGGUUUCUCGUUAGGCGCAGGCGUGAGUGUCACACGAGUAAACUCUCCUUGUCUUUGUGGUAUCAUCAGGGGACAGGGGAGCUUACCGGAUAGGAUCUACUGCUCCGCGGUGGGGGUUGGUAAGUUUCGGCGGUUGGGGAUGGUCUCGCGGCUUAUCAGCUUGUUUGUGGGGUAGUGGCUUUCCAAGGCUUUGAAGGGUAGCCGGCCUGAGAGGGUGACCGGCCACAUUGGGACUGCGAGACGCCCCAGUCUCCUACGGUAGGCAGCAGUCGGGAGUAUUGCACAAUGGGCGGACGCGUGAUGCGGCAGCGCCCCGUGCGGGAUGCCGGCCUACGGGUUGAAAACCACUUUCUACUGUGACGAGGCGUGAGUGACGGUAAUGGGUAAAGAAGCACCGGCUAACUACGUG